rnacentral:lncRNA from 1 species
UCAAAAGUAAAUUUUAAAACCGAAGGCUAUAGAUCAUUGAGGGAAGAGUUGUGUGUGUAUUUGACUUGACGCGCUACUACCUCUUUGCUUUGUGAUUUUUUAAGGAGGUUGUUUUUCUUUUGAAAUAGUAAAUUUUAUUAAACAACCAUAUCUCUCCUCAAGACGAUCAGAGACGGUGAAAUUGUUGGAACAAAAUGUGUUUAACAAUAAUAACCCUUAAGAGUUUUGAAGA